UAAAGGACAAAAUUUCACACCAAAAACUGGAGCUUACAGAAGCAGCCUGGGAGGUUUCAACCCAAAGAUGUUGCACUGGAAAACAGCCAGCUCCAGAUUUCCAAACAGUGAAGCAAAGGAAGAGCAAGAAGGAGGCCUUGGAAGUUAUCAAGCUUUUGGAGGGAGCAUGAGGAGGAAGGAGAAGUUCUGUAGGGAAACUGAGCAUUUCAAACUUCUCCCAGGCCUUGGGACUGAUGAAUGGCUCUGAGCUCCUCCUCGGGCAUGGCACAGAGAAGUGGUGGGGAGGCACGCACCCUCUUGUGCCAGCACCCUGCCAUCUAAUGGCCAGGCUUCAGA